rnacentral:rRNA from 2 species
AAUCGAUGGGAGCUUGCUCCCUGCGAUUAGCGGCGGACGGGUGAGUAACACGUGGGCAACCUGCCUAUAAGACUGGGAUAACUUCGGGAAACCGGAGCUAAUACCGGAUACGUUCUUUUCUCGCAUGAGAGAAGAUGGAAAGACGGUUUUGCUGGCCCUUAUUGAUGGGCCCCCCGCCCAAUAACUUGUUUGGGGAGGAAUGGCUCACCCAGGGGACCAAUCCUAACCCAACUGAAAAGGUGAUCCGCCACCCUGGGACUGAAACCCCGGCCAAAAUCCCACCGGAAGGAGCCAUUAGGAAUCUUCCCCAAUGGAACAAAGUCUGACCGAACCACCCCCCCUGGACCAAGAAAGGCUUCCGGUCCGAAAGUUUUGUUGGUAAGGGAGAACCAGUUCCAGGAUUAAUGCCGGGACCUUGAGGUUCCUAACCAGAAACCACCGGCUAACACAUGCCAGCGCCGCGGUAAUACGUGGUGGCAAGCGUUGUCCGGAAUAAUGGCGUAAAGCGCCGCAGGUGUUCUUAAGGCUGAUGUGAAAGCCACGGCUCAACCGUGAAGGUCAUUGGAAACUGGGA